rnacentral:rRNA from 1 species
UGCAAGUCGAACGGUAACAGGGGAGCUUGCUCCCGCUGACGAGUGGCGAACGGGUGAGUAAUGCAUCGGAACGUGCCGAAUAGUGGGGGAUAACGCACCGAAAGGUGUGCUAAUACCGCAUACGCCCUGAGGGGGAAAGUGGGGGACCGCAAGGCCUCACGCUAAUCGAGCGGCCGAUGUCGGAUUAGCUAGUUGGUGGGGUAAAGGCUCACCAAGGCGACGAUCCGUAGCGGGUCUGAGAGGAUGAUCCGCCACACUGGGACUGAGACACGGCCCAGACUCCUACGGGAGGCAGCAGUGGGGAAUUUUGGACAAUGGGGGAAACCCUGAUCCAGCCAUGCCGCGUGUCUGAAGAAGGCCUUCGGGUUGUAAAGGACUUUUGUCCGGGAGGAAACCCUGAUCGUUAAUAGCGGUCGGGACUGACAGUACCGGAAGAAUAAGCACCGGCUAACUACGUGCCAGCAGCCGCGGUAAUACGUAGGGUGCAAGCGUUAAUCGGAAUUACUGGGCGUAAAGCGUGCGCAGGCGGUGAGAUAAGUCAGCUGUGAAAGCCCCGGGCUCAACCUGGGAACUGCGGCCGAAACUGUCUCGCUAGAGUACGUCAGAGGGGGGUGGAAUUCCACGUGUAGCAGUGAAAUGCGUAGAGAUGU